GGGGCCGGGUCGGGGCGCGCCCCACUAGUCCCGGCGUGGGUGGCCGGGGUCUCCCCGAUUCCCGAGGGAGAGCCGGCUGGGCGAGGCGAGAGGACGAGGGGGGAGCAGGAGGGACUGGGGAGGUCAGAGGUCAGCCUGGGGGUCAGGGACGACUUAGGUUAUCCGCGGGCGGGGCUGGAGCGUGAGAGGGUCCCGGGAAGGUUAGAGUUCUCAAGGGGUGGGGCUGGAGCGUGGCCGUGGUCGGAGUUAAGGAGGGGCGGGCUGGUGUGUAGGGGCCCCGGGGAGGUUAGGGGUCUAGAGGACCCGGGUGGGUGCGUACCGGGGGAGGUCAGGGGUCGGGCGCGUGCCCCCCCGCCCCUCCCGGGCCUGCAUGGGGCUCCCCAGCCUGCGGGCGGCGGCCUGGGCCCUGAGGAGAGCCUGCGGACCGUGGACCCCGCGCCUGGGACCGCGCCUCCUCUGUUUGCCCCCCAUGGCAGGGAAUGGGGAGGCCCCCGUGCCCGUGGGGACCAAGCAGGAGCAGGACAGGAAGGUCCGGCGUGGCUGGCAGGGCGCGGCCAGGAUCUGGGAGGAGACAGAGCAGCAGGCGAAAAGGCUCAGGAGCAGCGAGGGUGGAGGGCAGCACGGGAAGCUGCCGAAGCGCAAGGUCGUGCUGCUCGUGGCCUAUUCCGGGAAGGGCUACCACGGCAUGCAGAGGAACGUUGGGUCCUCGAAAUUCAAGACCAUCGAAGAUGACCUGGUGUCUGCCCUGGUCCGGUCGGGUUGUAUUCCGGAGAAUCACGGGGAGGACAUGCGGAAGAUGUCCUUCCAGCGCUGCGCCCGGACGGACAAGGGUGUGUCUGCGGCCGGCCAGGUUGUGUCCCUGAAGGUGUGGCUGAUUGACGACCUUUUAGAAAAGAUUAACAGCCACCUUCCGUCUCACAUUCGGAUACUGGGACUGAAGAGGGUCACGGGCGGCUUCAACUCCAAGAACAAGUGCGACGCCAGGACCUACUUCUACAUGCUGCCCACGUUCGCCUUUGCCCACAAGGACCACGAUGCGCAGGACGAGACGUACCGGCUGCACGCAGAGACGCUGGGGCAUGUGAACCGGCUCCUGGCCUGCUACAGGGGCACCCACAACUUCCACAACUUCACCUCGCAGAAGGGGCCCCGCGAGCCCAGCGCCCGGCGCUACAUCCUCGACAUGUUCUGCGAGGAGCCCUUCGUGCGCGAAGGCAUGGAGUUUGCGGUGAUCAAGGUCAAGGGCCAGAGCUUCAUGACGCACCAGAUCAGGAAGAUGGUGGGGCUGGUGGUGGCCAUCGUCAAGGGCUACGCGCCCGAGAGCGUGCUGGAGCGCUGCUGGGGGGAGGCCAAGGUGGACGUGCCCAAGGCACCGGGGCUCGGCCUGGUCCUGGAGCGGGUGCACUUCGAGAAGUACAAUCAGCGCUUCGGCCACGACGGGCUGCACGAGCCGCUGGACUGGGCGCGGGAGGAGGCUGAGGUCACGGCCUUCAAGGAGCAGCACAUCUACCCCACGAUCAUCGGCACCGAGCGCCACGAGAGGUCCAUGGCCCAGUGGCUGAGCACCCUGCCCAUGCAUGACUUCAGCGCCACUGCCCACGCAGCCGCCGGCCCGGGCGCCAAGAUGAGCAAGCUGAGGCACCGAGAGGCCUGUCGCUGCCCCGGGGCCACAACAGUGGGAGGAGCAGGGCCAGGGCAUAGGACCUGGUGGCCAGCCGCCCUGCUCCGCGCUUAGUGACGCUGGGGAGGGACAUGCUCGGUGGCCGUCGUCCCGUGUGUGGGACGGAGGUGCCGCUGGGACGUCCUCCUCUGGCUCAUGCUGCUUGUCAGUUGGCACGUACCUGGCUCCAGAACAUGGGCUCGCUUGGCAGGCGCCAGGGACGCUGAGCGGCCAAGCGUCGUUCUCCUCGCCCUCUGGGCGGCGUUCCUGUCCAGGCCCGGGUAGUCUCCUCCGCCUGGGAGGGGACGCAGGCUGUGCUUUCGGCCGCACUGUCCCGGAGCCCUGCUGUCUGAUACCGCCCAGGGACCUGGCUCAAAGUGUGAUUCAUCUGUCCCCCGCCCCCUGGAAGGCAGUGAUGGGGACAGUGACUGAGCUGGCCCACGACACCGCACGCCGGGACCCGCCAGCCUGCUGCUGGCGGCAUGCCUCGCCCAGACGGGACGGCCCGCGCGCGGCCUCCCCAGCUCAGGAUCCUGAGAGCUGCGUCAUUCUGAGUUUUCGUCACAGGGAGAACCUGCCGCGAGUCUAUUUUCAGCUCACGCGUUGACUACACACAACUCAGCACGUAAAGACACUAUUUUUUUAAAGAAGCGAUUUUCUUAUUAAAUAAGUACAAACCUUG